rnacentral:rRNA from 1 species
ACAGCAGUAGCCGCGGGAAUACGAAGGGUGCAAGCGUUACUCGGAAUUACUGGGCGUAAAGCGUGCGUAGGUGGUGGUUUAAGUCCGUUGUGAAAGCCCUGGGCUCAACCUGGGAAUUGCAGUGGAUACUGGGUCACUAGAGUGUGGUAGAGGAUAGUGGAAUUUCCGGUGUAGCAGUGAAAUGCGUAGAGAUCGGAAGGAACAUCUGUGGCGAAGGCGACUAUCUGGGCCAACACUGACACUGAGGCACGAAAGCGUGGGGAGCAAACAGGAUUAGAUACCCCAGUAGUCCCUGUCUCUUAUAC